AUUGAACGCUGGCGGCAGGCUUAACACAUGCAAGUCGAGCGGGGUGAUGGUGCUUGCACUAUCACUUAGCGGCGGACGGGUGAGUAAUGCUUAGGAAUCUGCCUAUUAGUGGGGGACAACAUCUCGAAAGGGAUGCUAAUACCGCAUACGUCCUACGGGAGAAAGCAGGGGCUCACUUGUGACCUUGCGCUAAUAGAUGAGCCUAAGUCGGAUUAGCUAGUUGGUGGGGUAAAGGCCUACCAAGGCGACGAUCUGUAGCGGGUCUGAGAGGAUGAUCCGCCACACUGGGACUGAGACACGGCCCAGACUCCUUCGGGAGGCAGCAGUGGGGAAUAUUGGACAAUGGGGGGAACCCUGAUCCAGCCAUGCCGCGUGUGUGAAGAAGGCCUUAUGGUUGUAAAGCACUUUAAGCGAGGAGGAGGCUCUUUUGGUUAAUACCCAAGAUGAGUGGACGUUACUCGCAGAAUAAGCACCGGCUAACUCUGUGCCAGCCGCCGCAGUAA
rnacentral:rRNA from 1 species